CAAUAGGUCCCCAUCAUGUCUUUUGCUCUGCAGUCAGUCAGUGUUGAUUUGUGAAUGUGUAGCAAAAGGCAGAAUGGGGACCCAUUA
rfam:Dipodomys ordii contig_21890, whole genome shotgun sequence.